rnacentral:rRNA from 1 species
AACGAACGCUGGCGGCAGGCCUAUCACAUGCAAGUCGAACGUGAAGCCACCUUCGGGUGGUGGAAAGUGGCAGACGGGUGAGUAACGCGUGGGAACGUGCCCUUCGGUUCGGGAUAACCCAGGGAAACUUGGGCUAAUACCGGAUACGCCCUUCGGGGGAAAGAUUCAUUGCCGAAGGAUCGGCCCGCGUCGGAUUAGCUAGUUGGUGGGGUAAUGGCCCACCAAGGCGACGAUCCGUAGCUGGUCUGAGAGGAUGACCAGCCACACUGGGACUGAGACAAGGCCCAGACUCCUACGGGAGGCAGCAGUGGGGAAUAUUGGACAAUGGGCGCAAGCCUGAUCCAGCCAUGCCGCGUGGGUGAAGAAGGCCUUAGGGUUGUAAACCCCUUUCAGCGGGGAAGAUAAUGACGGUACCCGCAGAAGAAGUCCCGGCUAACUCCGUGCCAGCCGCCGCAGUAA